UCACACCACCCACCGCCUUCGUAUUCCCAAAGGCCAAAACACGGCUUCUUUGUUACGGAAUCAGAUCUGAUAUUGUUCUCCCCAAAUCUCCAUUUUCCCUUCGCGGUUGAUAUCGCUUUCAUCAGUAUAAUUCGAUUGUAGAAUACAAGCUGAGAAAGUGAGGGAUUCUUGUUGAGAAUUUAGGCCUAUUUUGGUGAUUUACUUACAUUCUUGUAUCAAUCAUUCACCUUGUGUUCAAUGCAUAUGAGCAUUGAUAAUUCAGGAUGUUAUGUAAAAUUGAAAUUUUUUGAUCAUAUGGUUGCUGUAUCUACAACUUAUUCCAAUGUUUCUUAAUCUUCUUUUGAAUGCCAUUUUUGACAAGUUUUGCAAUUAUAACUGA